GUGCAAACAGGCAAGUUGUUAUAUACUCUUAAAAUGUUUUAUAUCACAUGUAUCGGAAGAACUUUCAAAUAAUUGCAAAAAACAAGUGCUUGAGGUUUGACUGAUUGUUCCUGGUACUCAAUGCACUUAUUUUGUGGACAAAGGAGUUUCAGAAUAUUUGCCCAGCUUUCCAAAAUCUUAUUCGAGGCAAACAUUUGUGAUCUUGUUUGGAAUCAAAUUAUAUUAUUCCACGUGGUGAAUAAAGGUUUGGAGGACUUCACUGUGAGCACUCUUCAUCGUAUAUUGAGGGAGGUGUUCAAAAGUCUGAUUUAUAUCUUUUCUGAAAUUCUACUUGCUCUUUCUUACAAGAGAUUCCCAUAUUAAGAUUCUGCAUCUCUGAGGAGAUUAAGUAAACAAAAUCUUCAAAUUCA
rnacentral:misc_RNA from 1 species